GUUAGACAGUGAGAGAGAGAGAGACAGAGAGAAAGGUCUUCCUUCCGUUGGUUCACCCCCAAAAUGGCUGCUUCGGCCGGAGCUGUGCUGAUCCAAAGCCAGGAGCCAGGUGCCUCCUCUGGUCUCCCAAGUGGGUGCAAGGCCUAAGGACCUGGGCCAUCCUCCACUGCACUCCCAGGCCACAGCAGAGAGCUGGACUGGAAGAGGAGCAGCCGGGACAGAAUCCAGCGCCCCGACCAGGACUAGAACCUCGGGUGCCAGCGCCACAGGCAGAGGAUUAGCCAAGUGAGCUGCGGCGCCUGCCUCCCUGUUGUUUUAAAAGACACCUCCAGAUUUUCUGAAAUCCGCCCCACAGUUCUGAAUGCCUGUGUCUCCAGACUUCUACAAGAAUCGCAGUGGAGUUUUAUUAAAACAUUCCUUGGCAGAGAAAGAAAGAGAGAGAUCUUCCAUCCUCUGAUUGACUCCCUGAAUGCCUGCAAUAGCUGCGCCAGGCUGAAACCCAGAACUAAGAACUCCAUCCAGGUCUCCCACAUGUGGGACAGGAACCCAAAUACUUGGGCCAUCAUCAUCCACUGCCCUACAGGUUUGUUAGCAGGAAACUUAAUGGGAAUUGUGCAGUAGCUGGGACUCAAACAGGCCUUCUGAUGUGGGAUCAGGGCAUCCUAGGUGGUAGCUUAACCCACUGUAUCACAACACCUGUCCCAUGACUAAAAAGAAUGUAUUUGAUAGUGAAAGCAAGAGCAAGAGAGAGAGAGAGAGAGAACGAGAACUCCCACCGGCUGGUUCACUCCUCAGAUAUCCGCAGUGGUUGAGGCUGUACUGAGGCUGAAGCUGGGAGCUGGGAAUUCAAUUUAGGUUUCCCAUGUGGGUUGCAGAGACCCAACUACUUGAAAUAUCACUGCUGCCACCCAGGCUCUGCAUUCAUAGGAAACUGAAAUCAAGAGCCAGAGCUGGGAGUCAAACCCAGGUUCUCUUAUAUGGGAUGUGAGUGCCUUAACCUCUAGACUAAAUGCUUCCUCCUGACAUAUGACUUUUGAACUGAUGUUUUAUAAAUUGGUCCAAAAUUUCUGGAAGUACAUUACUGUUUAUAUUUUUUGGAGAAAAAAAAGAAUAAAUGUAGAUGAGAGUGCAAAACAGCAAUACUAUAGGAGUGGAGGGGAACUCAUGGAAAUAAUAAUUGCAGGAAAGCUUAUACCAUGCCUGGUAAGGUGUUAACUCUGAAACUCUUCCUUCUUGAUUAUCAUAAAUGCAUAUUAUUUAACUUGAGCUAUAUAAAUGCAAAUACUAGACAUAUUUGGUCUGAAAAUAUAGUUUCAUAUAGCUUCAGCUAAUUAAUUCAUUAGUGUGUUCUAUCAUUCAUCUAAAAUGUAAUUGGGGAUGAGUUAUAAGUUCUUGCAAAAGGGAAAAGAGCAACAAAAUAGUGAAACCUUUGAUGUGUGUUUUAGUGGCUUCUUUUUUAAUACAAGUCAACUAAUCAAUGAACUUGUCAGUCUGGGUUGUACAUCCUUAGCCUAGCACUGGUCUAUCAGCUAACUGGGGCAAACCAGAAAAAUCCAGGAUAGGUUUGGACCAUAGAAAUUUCCACCACUAUGGGAAGAACCAAACAUCUAGGAAGUAGUUUACAUAUGAUAAAUUAUGCAACAAACAAGAAUGCAUUUUUUUUUUUUUUUGCCAAACUGGUUCCUUUUUUGGCUUGCCACUUUGGUAUUCUUUAAAAUUUUUCCCCCAGAAACCUUAUAUUUAAGGAAAGUAAACUUCAUACAUUUCAUAAUUACAACUUUAGGCACAUGGUUAUUCUUCCCACCAUACCCACUCUCCCACCCACACUCCCAUCCUUCUUCGUCCUCCUUCUCUUAUUCCCAUUCUUAUUUUUUACUAAGAUCUAUUUUCAAUUAACUUUAUACACAUAUGACUAUAUGUUAAGAGUUCAACAAAUAGUAUGCAAAAAAACCAUAUUCCUCAACAGUUGAAAUAAGGCUCCAUAUUCAAAAUCCUUGGUUCUCAAAGUGUCAAUUUCAUUUCUAUAGAUUGCCUUUUAGGUGCUCUAUUUGUUCUCAUAGGUCAGGGAGAACAUAUGGUAUUUGACCUUUUGGUACUGGCUAAUUUACUAAGUAUGAUGUUUUCCAGUUUUAUUCAUUUUGUUGAAAAUGACCAGAUUUUGGGAUUUUUUUUGUGUAGUACUCCAUGGUGUACAUAUCCCAUAAUUUCUUUAUAAAGUCUUCAGUUGAUGGGCAUUUGGGUUGAUUCUAUAUCUUAGCUAUUGUAAAUUGAGCUGCAAUAAACAUGGGGAUACAGAUAACUAAUAUGCUGAUUUCAUUUCCUUUGGAUAAAUUCUCAGGAGUGGGAUGGCUGGGUAGUAUGGUAGGUCUAUAUUCAGAUUUCUGAGGUAUCUCCAUAUUGUCUUUUUUUUUUAAAAAAAGAUUUUUUAUUUAUUUAUUUGAGAGUUAGACUUACAGACAGUGAGAGGUAGAGAUAGACAGAAAGGUCUUCUUCCACUGGUUCAUUCCCCAAAUGGCUGCAACUGCCGGAGCUGUGCCGAUCCAAAGCCAGGAGCCAAGAACUUCCUCUGGUCUCCCAUACAGGUGCAGGGGUCCAAGGACUUGGGCCAUCUUCCACUGCUUUCCUAGGCCAUAGCAGAGAGCUGGUUUGGAAGAAGAGCAGCCGGGACUAGAAAUGACGCCCACAUGGGAUGCUGGUGCCACAGGCAGGGGAUCAACCUGUUGCACCACAGUGCUGGUCCUCCAUAUUGUCUUCCAUAGUGGUUUUACCAGUUUACAUUCCCACCAUCAAUGAAUUAGGGUACCUUUUACACAACAUCUUCACCAGCAUUUGUUGUUUGUUGAUUUAUGUAUGAAAGCCAUUCGAACAAGGGUAAGGUGAAACCUCGUUGUGGUUUUGAUUUGCAUGUCCAUGACAGGUAGUGAUCCUGAGCAUCUUUUCAUGUGUCUGUUAACCAUUUGGAUUUCCUCUUUUGAAAAAUGUCUAUUGAGGUCCUUGGCCCAUCUCUUAACUGGGUUUUUUGUUUUGUUGUUGUGGAGUUUCUUUAUCUCUUUAUAUAUUCUGGUUAUUGAUCCCUUAUCAGUUGCAUAGUUUUUAAAUAAUUUCUCCCAUUCUGUCAGUUGCUUCUUCAUUUUCCUGAGUGUUCCUUUUGCAGUACAGAAGCUUCUCAAUUUGAUGUAAUCCCAUGUAUUAAUUUUGGCUUUGAUUGCCUGUGCCUCUGGGGUCUUCUCCAAGAACUCUUUGCCUAUGCCAAUGUCUUGUAGGGGUUUCCCAAUGUUCUCUAAUAAUUUGAUGGUGUCAGGUCAGAGAUUUAGGUCUUUAAUCCACGUUGAGUAGAUUUUUGUGUAAGGUGUAUGGUAGGGGUUUUUCCUGCAUACUUCUGCAUGUGGAAAUACAAUUUUCCCAGCACCAUUUUUUGAAGAGACUGUCUUUUCUCCAGGGAUUGGUUUUAGCUCCUUGAUCAAAUAUAAUUUGGUUGUAAAUGUUUGGAUUAAUUUCUGGUGUUUUUAUUCUGUUCCAUUGGACUAUCCAUCUAUUUUUGUACCAGUACCAGGCUGUUUUGAUUAUAACUGUCUUAUAGUAUGUCUUGAAAUCUGGUAUUGUGAUGCCUCUGGUGUUAUUUUUGUUGUGUAAGAUUACUUUUAGCUAUUUGAGGUCUCCUGUGCCUCCAUAUGAAUUUCAGCAUCAUUUUUUAUAUAUCUGAGAAGAAGGUCUUUGGUAUUUUGAUUUGGAUCACAUUGAAUCUGUAAAUUGCUUUUGGAAGAAUGGACAUUUUGAUGAUAUCGAUUCUUCCAAUCCAUGAACAUGGAAAAUUUUUCUAUUCUCUUGUAUCUUCUCUUUCUUUCUUUAAUUUUUUGUAAUUCUCUUAAUAGAGAUCUUUGACAUUCUUGGUUAAACUUAUUCCAAGGUAUUUGAUUUUUUUUUUUAGCUAUUGUGAAUGGAAUUGAUCUUAGAAGCUCAAUCUCUGCCUUGGCAUUAUCUGUGUAUAGAAAGGCUAUUGGUUUUUGUGUGUUGAUUUUAUAUCCUGCCACUUUACCAAAUUCUUCUGUGAGUUCCAGUUGUCUCUUAGUGGAGUCUUUUGGAUUCCUUAUAUAUAGAAUCAUGUCAUCUACAAAUAAGAAUAAUUUGACUUUCUCCUUCCCAAUUGUAUCCCUUUGGUUUCUUUUUCUUUUUUUUUAAAUAAUUUAUUUUAUUUGAAAGUCAGAGUUACAUAAAGAGAGGAGAGGCAGAGAGAGAGAGAGAGGUCUUCUAUCCGGUGGUUCACUCCCCAAUUGGCUGCAAUGUCUGGAGCUGUGCCGAUCCAAAGUCAGGAGCCAGGAGCUUUGUCCUAUUCUUCCAUGUGGCUUCAGGGACCCAAGGACUUGGGCCAUCUUCUACUGCUUUCCCAGGCCAUUGCAGAGAGCUGGAUCAGAAGUGGAAUAGUGGGGACUCAAACUGGUGCCCAUAUGGGAUGCUGUCACUGCAGGCAGCAGCUUUACCUGCUACACUACAGCACCAGCCCCGUUUUGAUUUCUUUUUCUUGACUAAUGGCUCUGUCUGAAACUUCCAGGACUCUACUGAAUGACAGUGGUUAGAGUGGGCAUCCUUGUCUGGUUCCAGAUCUCAGUGGGAAUGCUUCCAACUUUUCUCCAUUCAACAGGACGCUGACUGUAAUUUUGUUUUAAAUUGCUUUGAUUGUGUUUAAGAAUGUUCCUUCUCUACCCAAUUUGCUUAGACUUUUCAUCAUGGAAGGGUGUUGUAUUUUAUCAAAUGCUUUCUCUGCAUCUAUUGAGAUAAUUAUUUGGUUUUUGUUCUUCAAUUUGUUAAUGUGUUAUAUCGCAUUGAUUGAUUUGCAAAUGUUGAGCCAUCCCUGCAUACCAGGAAUAAAUCCUACUUGGUCUGUGUGGAUGAUCUUUCUAAUGUGUUGUUGGAUUUGAAUGGCUAGUAUUUUGUUGAGGAUUUUUGCAUCUAUGUCAUCUGGAAAAUUGGUCUAUAGUUAUCUUUCUCUGAUGUAUCUUCAGGUUUAGGAAUUAAGGUGAUGCUGAUUUCAUAGAAAGAGUUUGGAUUCCCUACCUUUCAAAUUCUUCUAAUAGCUUGAGAAGAAUUGGAGUUAGUUCUUAUUUAAAUGUCUGGUAGAAUUCAGCAGUGAAGCCAUCUGGUCCUGGGCUUUUGUUUGUUGGGAGGGUCUUUAUUACUGAUUCAAUUCUCGUCUUUGUUAUGGGCCUGUUUAGGUUUUCUGUGUCUCCUUGGCUCAUUUUAUGUGGAUUGUGUGUGUCCAGGAAUCUGUGCCUUUCUUCUAGGUCCCAGUUUAUUGUCAUACAGCUUUUCGUAGUAAUUUCUAAUGAUUCUUUUAUUUCUGUGGUAUCUAUUGAAACAUUUUCUUUUUCAUCUCUAAUUUUAUUGAUUUGGUUCUUCUACCCCAUUUUUGUUUAGUUGGGACAAUGGUGUGUCAAUUUGGUUUAUUUUUUUUUAAAAAUCAGCUCUCUGUUUUGCUGAUCUUUUGUAUUUUUUAUGGUUUCAAUUUUGUUUAUUUUUUCUCCACUUUUAAUUAUUUCUUUUCUCCUACUAGUUUUGGGUUUGGUUUGCUGUUGUUUUUCUAGGUCCUUGAGAUGCAUUGAUAGCUCAUUUAUUGGUGUGUUUCCAAUUUCUUGAUGUAGGCAUCAUCUACUAUAAACUUUCCUCUUAACUCAGCUUUUGCUGUAUCCCAUAAGUUUUGAUAUAUUAUAUUGUCAUCAUCAUUUGUUUCCAGAAAUUUUUUGACUUCUCUUUUAUUUUUUCAAUGACCUACUGUUCAUUCAGGAGCAUGUUAUUCAGUCUCAAUACAUUUGCAAAUGUUCUAGAGGCUCUUUAGUUAUUAAUUUCCAGUUUCAUUCCACUGUGGUCUGAGAAGAUGCAUGGCAUGAUUUCAAUUUUUUUGUUUUAAUUUGCUGAGACUUGUUUUAUUGCCUAGCAUGUGGUGAAUCCUGGAGAAGGUUCCAUGCAUGGAUGAGAAGAAUGUGUAUUCUGCAACUGUAGGAUGGAAAGUUCUGUAGAUAUGUGUUAGGUCAUUUGGUCUAUAGUGUCGAUUAACUCUGUUGUUUCCUUGCUGAUUUUCUGUCUUAGAAAUUUCCAUUGCUGAAAGUGGGGUAUUGAAGUUCCCCAUUACUUUUGUAUUGGAGUCUAUGUCUCCCUUUAGAUCCAUUAACAUUUCUUUUAAAUAGCCAGGUGCUUUGUAAUUAGGUGCAAAUACAUUUAUAAUAGUGACAUCUUCCUGUAGAAUUGUUCCCUUAAUCAUUACAUAGUGCCCUUCUUUGUCUCUUUUAACAGUUUUUGUGUUGAAGUCAAUUUUGUUUGAUAGUAAGAUGGCUACAUCAGCUCUUUUUUGGUUUCUCUUAGCCUUGAAUAUCUUUUUCUAUCCUUUGACUUUCAGCCUGUAUGUAUCUUGUUGGUGAAAUGUGUUUCUUAUAGGUAGCAAAUAGUUGAGUUUUAUUUUUUAAUCCAUUCUACCAGUCUGUGUCUUGUAACUGGAGCAUUGAAGCCAUUUACAUUCAAGGUGACUAUUGAUAAAUAAUGAUUCUGCCCUGCCAUUUUUACAUAAAUAUUUGUAUUGUUUACUUUGGAUUUCCUUUGUACUUUCAUUGGGAGAUUUUCUACUUUUACCUACUUUUGUAGUGAUGGCCAUGUUUCUGCAUUUCUGUGUGCAGCACAUCCUUAAGCAUUUUUUAGUAUUAGUAAAUGGGUUGUGACAAAUUCUUUCAAUUUCUGUUUGUUAUGAAGGUCUUUAUUUCACUUUCCUUCAUAAAUGAGAGUUUUUCAGGGUAUAGUAUUCUGGGUUGACAGUUUUUUUCCCUUAAGACUCAGACUAUAUCUUGCUCCUAGCCUGUAGGGUUUCUGGUGAGAAGUCCACUGUGAAUCUAAUUGGAGAUCCUCUGAAAGUAAUCUGGCAUUUCUCUCAUGCACUUUUUAUUUUUAUUAAACUUUUAUUUAAUAAAUAUAAAUUUUGAAAGUGGAAUUUUUGGAUUAUAGCGGUUUUUUUCCCUCAUAACCACACUCCCACCCACAAACCAUCCCAUCUCCUACUCUCUCUCCCAUCCCAUUCUUCAUUAAGAUUGAUUUUUAAUUAUCUUUAUAUGCAGAAUAUCAACUUAGUAUAUACUAAGGAAAGAUUUCAACAGUUUGUACCCACACAGACACACAAAGUAUAAAGUGCUGUUUGAAUACUAGUUUUACUGUUAAUUUGCAUAGUGCAACAUAUUAAGGACAGAGAUCCUACAUGGGGAGUAAGUGCACAGUGACUCCCAUUGUUGAUUUAACAAUUGACACUCUUAUUUAUGACAUCAGUAAUCACCCUAGGCUUUUGUCAUGAGCUGCCAAGGCUAUGGAAGCCUCUUGAGAUCACAAACUCCAACCUUAUCUAGACAAGGCCGUAAUCAAAGUGGAAGUACUCUCCUCCCUUCAGACAAAAGUACCUCCUUUUAUAACCUGUUCUUUUCGCUGGGAUCUUCCUCACAGAGAUCUUUCAUUUAGGUCAUUUUUUUUUUCCACAGUGUCUUGGCUUUCCAUGCCUGAGAAACUCUCAUGGGCUUUUUAGCCAGAUCCGAAUGCCGUAAGGGCUGAUUCUGAGGCCAGAGUGCUGUUUAGGCAUCUACCAUUCUAUGAGUCUGUUGUGUAUCCCGCUUUCCAUAUUGGAUAAUUCUCUCCUUUUUAAUUCUAUCAGUUAUUAUUAGCAGACACUGGUCUUGUUUAUGUGAUCCUUUUGAUGCUUAAUCCUAUCUUUAUGAUAAAUUAUGAACUUAAAUUGAUCACUUUAACUAGUAAAAUGGCAUUGGUAUAUGCCAACUUAAGGGGAUUUCAAAUCUCAUGGCACGUUUGUAGCUCUGCCAUUAGGGGUAAGUCUGAGUAAGCAUUUGCUGAACUGUACAUCUCCUCCCUUUCUUAUUCCCACUCUUAUUUUUAACAGGGAUCAAUUUUCAGUUAAAUUUAAACACCUAAGAAUAAUUGUGUGUUAGUUAAAGAGUUCAAUCAAUGGUAUUAAGUAGAACAAGAAAAUACUACAAAGAAUAAAAUAGCAAGUUGUUCCUCAACAGUCAAGACAAGGGCUGAUCAAGUCAUUGUUUCUUAUAGUGUCAGUUUCAUUUCUACAGGUUUCCUUUUUGUGCUUAGUUAGUUGUCAUAGGUCAGGGUAAACAUUUAUUUGUCCCUUUGGGACUGGCUUAUUUCACUCAGCAUGAUUCCAGAGUCCUCCAUUUUGAUGCAAAUGACAGGAUUUCAUUUUUUUUUUACUGUUGUAUAGUAUUCUAUAGAGUACAUGUCUCAUAAUUUCUUUAUCCAGUCUUCUGUUGAUGGGCAUUUAGGUUGAUUCCUUAUCUUAGCUAUUGUGAAUUGAGCUGCAGUAAACAUUGAGGCAUCUUUUAUUUGCCAAUUUAAUUUCCCUUGGGUAAAUUCUAAGGAGUGGGAUGGCUGGGUCAUGUGGUAGGUUUCUGAGGAAUCUCCAAACUAUCUUCCAUAAUGGCUUUACCAUUUUGCAUUCCCACCAACAGUGGAUUGGUGAGCCUUUUUUCCCACAUCCUUGCCAGCAUCUGUUGUCAGUUGACUUCUGUGUGUAAGUCAUUCUAAGUGGGGUGAGGUGAAACCUCAUUGUGGUUUUGAUUUGCAUUUCCCUGAUUGCUAGUGAUCCUGAAUAUUUUUUCAUGUGUCUGUUGGCCAUUUGGAUUUCCUCUUUUGAAAAAUAUCUAUUUAGGUCCUUGGUACACCUCUUAAGUAUGUUAUUUGUUUUGUUGUUGUGGUGUUUCUUGAUCUCUUUGUAGAUUUUGGUUAUUAAUCCUUUAUCAGUUGUAUAAUUUUGCAAAUAUUUUUUCCCAUUCUGUCAGUUGCCUCUUCACUUUCCUUACUGUUUCUUUUGCAGUACAGAAGCCUCUCAAUUUGAUGUUAAUCCUGGCUUUGACUGCCUAUGCCUCUGGGGUCUUCUCCAAGAAGUCUUUGCAUGUGCCAGUGUCUUGCAGGGUUUCUCCGAUGUUCUCUAAUAAUUUGAUGGUGUCUGGUUAUAGAUUUAGAUCUCUAAUCCAUGUUGAGUGGAUUUUUGUGUAAGGUGAAAGUUAGGGGUCUUUCUUCAUGUUUCUGCACGUGGUAAUCCAAUUUUCCCAGCACCAUUUGUUGAAUGGACUGUCCUUGCUCCAGGAAUUGGUUUUAGAUCCUUGAUCAAAUAUAAGUUGGCUGUAGAUGUAUGGAUUGAUUUCUGGUGUUUGUAUUAUGUUUAUUGGUCUAUCCCUUUGUUUCUGUACCAAUUCCAUGCUGUUUUGAUUAUAACUGUCUUAUAGUAUGUCUUGAAAUCUGGUAUUGUGAUGCCUCUGGCUUUGUUUUGUUUGUUUGUUUGUUUGUUUUAGACAGAAUUAGACAGUGAGAAAGAGAGAGACAGAAAGGUCUUCCUUCCAUUGGUUCAUUCCCGAAAUGGCCACUAUGGCUGGCGCACUGCGCUGAUCCAAAGCCAGGAGCCAGGUGCUUCCUCCUGGUCUCCCAUGCUGGUGCAGGGCCCAAGGACUUGGGCCAUCCUCCACUGCCCUCCCAGGCUACAGCAGAGAGCUGGACUGGAAGAAGAGCAACCGGGACAGAUCUGGCGCCCCAACCGGGACUAGAACCUGGUGUGCCAGCGCCACAGGCAGAGGAUUAGCCAAGUGAGCUAAGGAUUAGCCAAUUAGCACCUGCCCUAGCUUUGUUUUUGUUAUGUAAGUUUGCUUUAGCUAUCCAAGGUCUCCUGUGCCUCCAUAUGAAUUUCAGCAUCAUUUUUUCCAGAUCUGAGAAGAAUGUCUUUGGUAUUUUGAUUGGGAUCGCAUUGAAUCUAUAAAUUGCUUUUGGGAGAAUGGAUAUUUUGAUGAUAUUGAUUCUUCCAAUCCAUGAGCAUGGAAGAUUUUUCCAUUUUUUGGUAUCCUCUUCUAUUUCUUUAAGGUUUUGUAAUUCUCAUCAUAGAGAUAUUUGACAUCCUUGGUUAAGUUUAUUCCAAGGUAUUUGAUUGUUUUUGUAGCUAUUGUAAAUAGGAUUGGUCUUAGAAGUUCUUUCUUAGCCAUGGCAUUGCCUGUGUAUACAAAGGCCGUUGAUUUUUGUGCAUUGAUUUUAUAUCCUGCUACUUUGCCAAACUCUUCUAUGAGUUCCAAUAGUCUCUUAGUGGAGAUCCCAUAAAUAAAGAUCCAUAAAUAAAAGUAAAGAUCCAUAAAUAAAAAUCCCCUAAAUAAAGAAUCAUAUCAUCUGCAAAGAGGGCUUUUUGAGUUCUUCCUUCCCAAUUGUAUCCCUUUAAUUUCUUUCUCUUGCCUAAUAGCUCUGGCUAAAACAUCUAGAACUAUAUUGAAUAGCAGUAGUGAAAGUGGGCAUCCCUGUCUGGUACUGGAUCUCAGUGGAAAUGCUUCCUACUUUUCCUCAUUCAAUAGGAUGCUGGCCACUCAGCUGAACUCUUCUCCUCAAUGGUGAUCUGUGCUUGAGUGCUAGCCCCAGUGGAUAUAAUAUUCGACUGCUCUGUCCCAAGGACCACAGAAAGGAUCUGUGCAUUCCUCAGUGUAAUCUCAGGUUCCCCUGCAAUGUCUCUCAUUGGGUAGCUAGGGCCGCCCAAGCGUGUGGCAUCUCCCACUGAGACUACUCAAAGUCUCAGCCACACCGUGAGUUCUCCCAUAUGCCCUCAGUUGUUUUUUUUUUUUUUUCCCCACAGUCCCGGU